rnacentral:rRNA from 1 species
AUGAACGCUGGCGGCGUGCCUAACACAUGCAAGUCGAGCGGAGAAUUGUUGCUUGCAACAAUUCUUAGCGGCGGACGGGUGAGUAACACGUGGGUAACCUGCCCUAAACAAAGGGAUAACAAUGAGAAAUCAUUGCUAAUACCGUAUAAGCUUACACUAUCGCAUGAUAGAGUAAGAAAAGAUUUAUCGGUUUAGGAGGGGCCCGCGUCUGAUUAGCUAGUUGGAGAGGUAACGGCUCACCAAGGCGACGAUCAGUAGCCGACCUGAGAGGGUGAUCGGCCACAUUGGGACUGAGACACGGCCCAACCUCCUACGGGAGGCAGCAGUGGGGAAUAUUGCACAAUGGAGGAAACUCUGAUGCAGCAACGCCGCGUGAAGGAAGAAGGUUUUCGGAUCGUAAACUUCUAUCUACAGGGAAGAAAAAAAUGACGGUACCUGAGUAAGAAGCCCCGGCUAACUACGUG